GGUCGCUAGUAUUUUAUAUGUCGUGCUUCCCGGGAAAAAACAUACGUAAUUACCAAAUUAUUAAACUUAUUUUUUCAGUUUUGAACAUUCUUAUAUCACUGACUUUAACUAUUUCUCCGUCUACAUUUUUAGUAAAUCUAUAUUCUUGAAGUUUUUUAAUAUCAUAGAGUUCGCUGUGACUCAUCACUACUACAUUGUAUUUGUUUCCCCGUUUUUUCGCCUCAUAGUCAAAUAAAAUGAGUGUUUAGGUUUUCUAUUGUCAUAAAUUUUUUUAUAUUGAUAUUUGAGUUUUAUCUCAGUUAAAUGUUUGGAUAUAUAAUCUCUUUGUUGUUGUAGUGAAUCCAUUUUCCAAUAAUUUAUAAAGACUUCGUUACGUUCUUCCUCGGAAAUAUUAAUAUUCAAUAUAACAUUUCAAUCGACAACUAUCGCUGCAAGAUUCUUGUGAAGAUGAAUCAACCGAAGAGCUGGGCUUAUACUCUUGAUCAUCGUCAGAAGCAGGUGAAAAAUCUUGUCCAGACUGAUGGCUACUGCAUGAGGAACACGAGGAUUUUCUAAUACGAAAGUUUUGCUGAUUUUCUACUGCUGGUAUCGAGGAGCUGGGGCCUGGGUCUUCAGUAGAUUCUUUUUUUCGUUUUGAAUACUUUUCAUCAUUUGAGUUAAUUUCCUGUAUAAGUCUUUUGAAUUUACUAGACCAUGCCUCCUGUCAACCCAAGAGGGUUGACAGGUGGCAUGGCUAACUAUGUACUGAAACAAGAAAUUAAUGAAUUAAUUGAAACAAAUGUAUUAUUGGCAUGGCUAACUAAGUAUGUACUGAAACAAGAAAUUAAUGAAUUAAUUGAAACAAAUGUAUUAUUUUUAUAAGGCAAUGAAAUAAUUAAAAAGUAUGUUAUUAUUAUAUAUUA